UACGGGGGGGGCAAGCGUUGUUCGGAAUUACUGGGCGUAAAGCGCGCGUAGGCGGACCUGCAAGUCGGGGGUGAAAGCCCGAGGCUCAACCUCGGAACUGCCUUCGAUACUGCGGGUCUCGAGUCCGGGAGAGGGAUGCGGAAUUCCAGGUGUAGCGGUGAAAUGCGUAGAUAUCUGGAGGAACACCGGUGGCGAAGGCGGCAUCCUGGACCGGUAUUGACGCUGAGGCGCGAAAGCCAGGGGAGCAAACGGG
rnacentral:rRNA from 1 species